GAUGAAGAACGUAGCGAAAUGCGAUAAGUAAUGUGAAUUGCAGAAUUCAGUGAAUCAUCGAAUCUUUGAACGCACAUUGCGCCCGCUAGUAUUCUGGCGGGCAUGCCUGUCCGCGCGUCAUUUCAACCCUCAAGCCCCCGGGCUUGGUGUUGGGGAUCGGCGAGCCUCCGCGCCCGCCGUCCCCUAAAUCUAGUGGCGGUCUCGCUGUAGCUUCCUCUGCGUAGUAGCACACCUCGCACUGGGAAACAGCGCGGCCACGCCGUUAAACCCCCAACUUCUGAACGUUUGACCUCGGAUCAGGUAGGAAUACCCGCUGAACUUAAGCAUAUCAAUAAGCGGAGGA
rnacentral:misc_RNA from 1 species